GGCCAAGGUUAGGGCUGUGAAAGAUGGAGCCGGCCAAGGUUAUGGCUGUGAAAGAUGGAGCCGGCCAAGGUUAGGGCUGUGAAAGAUGGAGCCGGCCAAGGUUAGGGCUGUGAAAGAUGGACCUGGCCAAGGUUAGGGCUGUGAAAG